rnacentral:miRNA from 1 species
UAUUGACGCUGCACUCAAUCA